rnacentral:rRNA from 1 species
GACGAACGCUGGCGGCGCGCUUAACACAUGCAAGUCGAGCGAAGCGGCGGCCGGGUGAGUAACACGUGAGUAACCUGCCUUAGACAUUGGGAUAGCAUCGGGAAACCGGGAUUAAUACCAAAUGGUCUAAGAUGUACUCGCGUCCCAUUAGCUAGUUGGGAGGUAACGGCCCAACAAGGCGACGAUGGGUAGCCGGCCUGAGAGGGUGCACCGCCACAUUGGAAUUGAGAAACGGGCGAAACUCUACGGUAGGCAGCAGUGGGGAAUAUUGCACAAUGGAGGAAACUCUGAGGCGGCGACGCCGGGUGAACGAAGAAGGCUUUCGAGUCGUAAAGUUCUUUUAUAUGGGAAGCGGUACCAUAAGAAAAAGCCCCGGCUAACUACGUGCCAGCAGCCGCGGUAAUUC